GUGUCAGCAGCCGCGGUAAGACGAACCGUGCGAACGUUGUUCGGAAUCACUGGGCAUAAAGGGCGCGUAGGCGGCUUAUCAAGUCAGGGGUGAAAUCCGGCAGCUCAACUGUCGAAGUGCCUUUGAUACUGAUGAGCUCGAGGGAGGUAGGGGUAUGCGGAACUUCCGGUGGAGCGGUGAAAUGCGUUGAUAUCGGAAGGAACGCCGGUGGCGAAAGCGGCGUACUGGACCUCUUCUGACGCUGAGGCGCGAAAGCUAGGGGAGCAAACGGGAUUAGAUACCCCCGUAGUCC
rnacentral:rRNA from 1 species